CUAAACCUCUAUGUUUGUAUUAAUUUCAGGAAGUUCUCUUGAGUUUUGUAAAUUGGGGUAUAGGCACCACGUCCCGUUAUGGAUUCCGCGGUUUCUUUAAUCAAGGCUUGAUGGCACACCACCCGGCUAUACUUUCAAAAAGAGAAGAAAUAUCCUUCACGGCAUGGCACCACGAUCUCUUCGUCCUAAUUCCAGACGAACUCCACGCAACUUCUUUUAUCUCCUACUGUUGAUAUUUGUGUCUGCAUGUAUGUUAGGAUUCUAUACAGAUUACCGGAAAGUUACAUACUUCUUGCGGCCACUUUGGGAUACGCCGCCAGCUCCGUUCACAUGGCUGCCACACUACUAUGCAGAAAAUGCAAGCAUGGAACAUCUCUGCCGCCUUCAUGGCUGGUCCGUGCGUGCCACCCCACGCCGUAUUUUCGAUGCCAUCAUCUUCACCACUAUCUACAGCAAGGAUACCAGGUACACGCAUUCGAGGCGUGCUGAUGACCUGCUCUCUGAUGCAGGAUGGCAUUGUAGUUUUUGCUUUCGGCACAUUGAGGAGUUUGUGUUCAAGAUGAGUGCUUAUAGCCACGCAGACCGUGUGUGGCGGAGAGAUUUUCUGGAUUACGGAAGAAUACAGAAGCUCAUUUGUCAAGGAGAUGAUCUUUUCGAUAUGUUGCCUGAAGGGUACACAUUCAAGGAAGUGAUCAGCAAAGAUGGGACCGAUUCCCAAAUCAGCUUCUGCUAUUAACCUUCCAGCUUAUCUGAUAAAGAAUGCGGACAAAUUUAGGUUCCUUCUCCCUGGAGGCUGUAUCAGAGAGACUGGUAGCUCUUCUAACUUUGCUAAGUAA